UGGGGAAUAUUGCACAAUGGGCGGAAGCCUGAUGCAGCAACGCCGCGUGCGGGAUGACGGCCUUCGGGUUGUAAACCGCUUUCAGUAGGGACGAAGGGUGACUGACGGUACCUACAGAAGAAGGACCGGCUAACUACGUGCCAGCAGCCGCGGUGAUACGUAGGGUCCGAGCGUUGUCCGGAAUUAUUGGGCGUAAAGGGCUUGUAGGCGGUUCGUCGCGUCAGGAGUGAAAACUCAGGGCUUAACCCUGAGCCUGCUUUUGAUACGGGCGGACUAGAGGGAUGCAGGGGAGAACGGAAUUCCUGGUGGAGCGGUGGAAUGCGCAGAUAUCAGGAGGAACACCGGUGGCGAAGGCGGUUCUCUGGGCAUUACCUGACGCUGAGAAGCGAAAGCGUGGGGAGCAAACAGG
rnacentral:rRNA from 1 species